UCUGGUUGAUCCCGGCGGAGGUUACUGCUAUCGAGGUUCGACUAAGCCAUGCGAGUCGAAUGUAGCAAUACAUGGCGUACUGCUCAGUAACACGUGGACAACCUACCCUCAGGUCGGGGAUAAACCCGGGAAACUGGGUAUAAUACCCGAUAGAUCUCGGCUGCUGGAAUGCAUCGAGCUCUAAAGCUCCGGCGCCUGAGGAUGGGUCUGCGGCCUAUCAGGUAGUAGUGGGCGUAGCGUACCUACUAGCCUACGACGGGUACGGGUUGUGAGAGCAAGAGCCCGGAGAUGGAUUCUGAGACACGAAUCCAGGCCCUACGGGGUGCAGCAGGCGCGAAAACUUUACAAUGCCGGUAACGGCGAUAAGGGGACCUCGAGUGCCAGGUUACAAAUCUGGCUGUCGUGAUGCCUAAAAAGCAUUGCAUAGCAAGGGCCGGGCAAGACCGGUGCCAGCCGCCGCGGUAACACCGGCGGCUCGAGUGGUAACCGUUAUUAUUGGGUCUAAAGGGUCUGUAGCCGGCCGGAUAAGUCUCUUGGGAAAUCCAGCAGCUUAACUGUUGGGCUUUCAGGAGAUACUGUCUGGCUCGAGGCCGGGGGAGGUGAGAGGUACUUCAGGGGUAGGGGUGAAAUCUUGUAAUCCUUGAAGGACCACCAGUGGCGAAGGCGUCUCACCAGAACGGACCUGACGGCAAGGGAC
rnacentral:rRNA from 1 species